UUUUAUGGAGAGUUUGAUCCUGGCUCAGGAUGAACGCUGGCGGCGUGCCUAAUACAUGCAAGUCGAGCGAACGGACGAGAAGCUUGCUUCUCUGAUGUUAGCGGCGGACGGGUGAGUAACACGUGGAUAACCUACCUAUAAGACUGGGAUAACUUCGGGAAACCGGAGCUAAUACCGGAUAAUAUUUUGAACCGCAUGGUUCAAAAGUGAAAGACGGUCUUGCUGUCACUUAUAGAUGGAUCCGCGCUGCAUUAGCUAGUUGGUAAGGUAACGGCUUACCAAGGCAACGAUGCAUAGCCGACCUGAGAGGGUGAUCGGCCACACUGGAACUGAGACACGGUCCAGACUCCUACGGGAGGCAGCAGUAGGGAAUCUUCCGCAAUGGGCGAAAGCCUGACGGAGCAACGCCGCGUGAGUGAUGAAGGUCUUCGGAUCGUAAAACUCUGUUAUUAGGGAAGAACAUAUGUGUAAGUAACUGUGCACAUCUUGACGGUACCUAAUCAGAAAGCCACGGCUAACUACGUGCCAGCAGCCGCGGUAAUACGUAGGUGGCAAGCGUUAUCCGGAAUUAUUGGGCGUAAAGCGCGCGUAGGCGGUUUUUUAAGUCUGAUGUGAAAGCCCACGGCUCAACCGUGGAGGGUCAUUGGAAACUGGAAAACUUGAGUGCAGAAGAGGAAAGUGGAAUUCCAUGUGUAGCGGUGAAAUGCGCAGAGAUAUGGAGGAACACCAGUGGCGAAGGCGACUUUCUGGUCUGUAACUGACGCUGAUGUGCGAAAGCGUGGGGAUCAAACAGGAUUAGAUACCCUGGUAGUCCACGCCGUAAACGAUGAGUGCUAAGUGUUAGGGGGUUUCCGCCCCUUAGUGCUGCAGCUAACGCAUUAAGCACUCCGCCUGGGGAGUACGACCGCAAGGUUGAAACUCAAAGGAAUUGACGGGGACCCGCACAAGCGGUGGAGCAUGUGGUUUAAUUCGAAGCAACGCGAAGAACCUUACCAAAUCUUGACAUCCUUUGACAACUCUAGAGAUAGAG
rnacentral:rRNA from 4 species